rnacentral:lncRNA from 1 species
CUGCACAGAAACGAAGUCACACGGAGAAACUUGACGACAUGGUCCAUCGCGGGAUAGUUCCGGCGUGAGAAUAAGUACAUGUUGAAUAAAGUUUAACAAUUGAGGUUUAAUGCUCUAGUGCUGUAAAAUCAAAGAUUAUUGAAGGCAAUUAGAGACGAAAAAUUAAAAAUGAAGAUGGAUGAUCAUAUUAAGUCGAAUGAGGAAAUAGAAAGAGUAAGGAAAACGGCCGACACACACAUGAUUGUGGCUGCACUCGUAACAACAGUAACCUUCGCAGCUGAAUUCACCUUGCCAGGAGGCUACGAUGGAAAUGAAG